GUGUGUGUGUGUGUGUGUGUGUGUGUGUGUGGUGUUAGUCCACUCUGUGUGUGUGUGUGUGUGUGUGUGUGUGUGUUAGUCCACUCUGUGUGUGUGGUGUUAGUCCACUCUCCGUGUGAGUGUGUGUGUGGUGUGUGUUUGCUGAAGAGAAUAAAAUAUGUGGUUUAGUUGGUUAUGCAUUACAUCCAAUGAGGUCCUUAAGUGAUAAAUCAAAGAGCAGUCUUCCACCUUGGCUCUUCGCUGAUCUAGAGCCUGACGUGUAUCCAUGGCUACGCCACGCUGCCAGGCGUGCCCCGUCAGGCCACUGCUGUGUGCUAACAGAGAGUCAUAGUUAGUUAAAGGUCCACUGCUGUGUCCUAACAGAGAGUCAUAGUUAGUUAAAGGUCCACUGCUGUGUGCUAACAGAGAGUCAUAGUUAGAGAAAGGGCCACUGCUGUGUGCUAACAGAGAGUCAUAGUUAGUUAAAUGUCCACUGCUGUGUGCUAACAGAGAGUCAUAGUUAGAGAAAGGGCCACUGCUGUGUGCUAACAGAGAGUCAUAGUUAGAGAAAGGGCCACUGCUGUGUGCUAACAGAGAGUCAUAGUUAGUUAAAGGUCCACUGCUGUGUGCUAACAGAGAGUCAUAGUUAGAGAAGUUAGAGUUCUAAAGGUCCAGAGGUCUAGAGAAUGAGUGUGUUUCUUUAUGACUCGACUAUAAAAAGUCUCACCAAUAUAUCUCUCCUUCCUUUGGAUCUACUUGAUAAUGUGUAAAAAAGCAACUGAGAAAAAAAUGUGUGGGGUUCAGGACUGAGCCUCUGGACUUUAUACCUUCUUCUGGACCCAGCAGAUGUGCCAAGUUGGCACAGAACCACAGGUCUGGUCCGGUUGGGCUGGGCUGGGUCCAUUCUCCUCAGAAGACCCAUCACAUGGUUUCACCAUCUCACGGGCCGCCAGGGUGCUGGGGAUAAUAACAAGAUUUAGAGCCCACUCCCUACAAUGAGAGAG
ensembl:lncRNA